GUGCUCCCUUCAGUAGCACAUAUACUAAAAUUGGAAUGAUAUAGAGAAGAUUAGUAUGGCUCAUGCACAAGGAUGACACGCACAUUCGUGAAGCAUUCCAUAUUUUU